GAGUUUGAUCCUGGCUCAGGAUGAACGCUGGCGGCGUGCUUAACACAUGCAAGUCGAACGGUGAAAGAGAGCUUGCUCUCUGGAUCAGUGGCGAACGGGUGAGUAACACGUGAGCAAUCUGCCCCUGACUCUGGGAUAAGCGCUGGAAACGGCGUCUAAUACCGGAUACGAGACGUGAAGGCAUCUUCAACGUCUGGAAAGAACUUUGGUCAGGGAUGAGCUCGCGGCCUAUCAGCUAGUUGGUGAGGUAAUGGCUCACCAAGGCGUCGACGGGUAGCCGGCCUGAGAGGGUGACCGGCCACACUGGGACUGAGACACGGCCCAGACUCCUACGGGAGGCAGCAGUGGGGAAUAUUGCACAAUGGGCGCAAGCCUGAUGCAGCAACGCCGCGUGAGGGACGACGGCCUUCGGGUUGUAAACCUCUUUUUAGCAAGGAAGAAGCGAAAGUGACGGUACUUGCAGAAAAAGCACCGGCUAACUACGUG
rnacentral:rRNA from 1 species